CUAAUACAUGCAAGUCGAACGAGUUCUCGUUGAUGAUCGGUGCUUGCACCGAGAUUCAACAUGGAACGAGUGGCGGACGGGUGAGUAACACGUGGGUAACCUGCCCUUAAGUGGGGGAUAACAUUUGGAAACAGAUGCUAAUACCGCAUAGAUCCAAGAACCGCAUGGUUCUUGGCUGAAAGAUGGCGUAAGCUAUCGCUUUUGGAUGGACCCGCGGCGUAUUAGCUAGUUGGUGAGGUAACGGCUCACCAAGGCGAUGAUACGUAGCCGAACUGAGAGGUUGAUCGGCCACAUUGGGACUGAGACACGGCCCAAACUCCUACGGGAGGCAGCAGUAGGGAAUCUUCCACAAUGGACGCAAGUCUGAUGGAGCAACGCCGCGUGAGUGAAGAAGGCUUUCGGGUCGUAAAACUCUGUUGUUGGAGAAGAAUGGUCGGCAGAGUAACUGUUGUCGGCGUGACGGUAUCCAACCAGAAAGCCACGGCUAACUACGUGCCAGCAGCCGCGGUAAUACGUAGGUGGCAAGCGUUAUCCGGAUUUAUUGGGCGUAAAGCGAGCGCAGGCGGUUUUUUAAGUCUGAUGUGAAAGCCCUCGGCUUAACCGAGGAAGCGCAUCGGAAACUGGGAAACUUGAGUGCAGAAGAGGACAGUGGAACUCCAUGUGUAGCGGUGAAAUGCGUAGAUAUAUGGAAGAACACCAGUGGCGAAGGCGGCUGUCUGGUCUGUAACUGACGCUGAGGCUCGAAAGCAUGGGUAGCGAACAGGAUUAGAUAC
rnacentral:rRNA from 1 species